GUUUUUCAAUACAGAGUUCACACUGGUUUCAUACGUGAUGAGGAGACAAGCAAACAGUGGAGAACAGCAGUAGAUACAAUGCAGAUAAGCAAGAAAGAAAAAUUAAGGACGAAAAGAUGGAGCUGUUUCUAAAAAAUCAGAUGGCACACUUGGAAAUAAUACCAUAAAGGCUCAUUAUUUUAAACAACUAUUGAUUACAUCUUGGGGAUUUUCACCAAUUCCACUUGAUGCUGCUUUUAAAAUGUUCUUUGGCCUGUUAAUGAUUAAAGAUUUGGAUUUCCCUCUUUACACUAAAUACUUUUAUGGAGUCUACUUGAGCGCUGAUCUUUGCAUGGAAAUAACAGAAAAUUCCAAGAAAUGGAAGCCGCUGCUAGUAAAAGAAGAAAAGCCGAGUAUCGUCAGGGUUAAUAGCUCCUAUUUGAGAUCCAUGAAUGAUUACAAAGUUACUUUUCUAUAUCGAACUUUCAAGUCUCAUUAAUAAUAUGCUGCCUCUCCAGGACACAGGUGCACUCACGGUACAAAGGCUAUCGGUUCAUCACAUGGA
rnacentral:lncRNA from 1 species